rnacentral:rRNA from 1 species
GGAAGGAUCAUUAUUGAAAUAAAACUGAUGGGUUGCUGCUGGUUCUCUAGGGAGCAUGUGCACACUUGUCAUCUUUAUAUCUCCACCUGUGCACCUUUUGUAGACCUGGAUAUCUUUCUGAAUGCCUUGCAUUCGGGUUUGAGGAUUGACUUUACUGUCUUUCCUUACAUUUUCAGGCCUAUGUUUUUUCAUAUACCCCAAUGUAUGUUAUAGAAUGUAAUAAACGGGCCUUUGUGCCUAUAAACCUAUACAACUUUCAGCAACGGAUCUCUUGGCUCUCGCAUCGAUGAAGAACGCAGCGAAAUGCGAUAAGUAAUGUGAAUUGCAGAAUUCAGUGAAUCAUCGAAUCUUUGAACGCACCUUGCGCUCCUUGGUAUUCCGAGGAGCAUGCCUGUUUGAGUGUCAUUAAUAUAUCAACCUCCUCAGCUUUUGCUUGUCGAGUGUUGGAUGUGGGGGUACCUUUUGCUGGCUUCUCUUUCUGAGGUCUGCUCCCCUAAAAUGCAUUAGCGGAACAAUUUGUUGACCGUUCAUUGGUGUGAUAACUAUCUACGCUAUUGACGUGAAGCAGGUUCAGCUUCUAACAGUCCAUUAACUUGGACAAUUUUUCAUUAAUGUGACCUCAAAUCAGGUAGGACUACCCGCUGAACUUAAGCAUAUCAAUAAGCGGAGGAAAAGAAACUAACAAGGAUUCCCCUAGUAACUGCGAGUGAAGCGGGAAAAGCUCAAAUUUAAAAUCUGAUAGUCUUUGGCUGUCCGAGUUGUAAUCUAGAGAAGUGUUAUCCGCGCUGGACCGUGUACAAGUCUCCUGGAAUGGAGCGUCGUAGAGGGUGAGAAUCCCGUCUUUGACACGGACUGCCAGGGCUUUGUGAUGCACCCUCAAAGAGUCGAGUUGUUUGGGAAUGCAGCUCAAAAUGGGUGGUAAAUUCCAUCUAAAGCUAAAUAUUGGCGAGAGACCGAUAGCGAACA